AGAGUUUGAUCCUGGCUCAGGAUGAACGCUAGCGACAGGCCUAACACAUGCAAGUCGAGGGGCAGCGAAGAGGUAGCAAUACCUUUGUCGGCGACCGGCGCACGGGUGAGUAACACGUAUCCAACCUGCCGUCUACUCUUAGACAGCCUUCUGAAAGGAAGAUUAAUACAAGAUGGCAUCAUGAGUUCACAUGUUCACAUGAUUAAAGGUUUUCCGGUAGACGAUGGGGAUGCGUUCCAUUAGAUAGUAGGCGGGGUAACGGCCCACCUAGUCUUCGAUGGAUAGGGGUUCUGAGAGGAAGGUCCCCCACAUUGGAACUGAGACACGGUCCAAACUCCUACGGGAGGCAGCA
rnacentral:rRNA from 1 species